UAAAAGCACGUGAAACCGUUGAAAGGGAAACGCGCUCGGCUAGCAAUGCGCGUCUGUGGUUCAGCCGGCUAGUCUUGUCGAGUUGCCGUUGUGUGGAUCCGAAUGGACUACCUGCGGUGGCGGCGGUGGGCGAGCUAUGGUGCACUCCACGGGCGUGCGCGUCAGCGUCGGUUCUCGACGGGCGACAAGGUGCGUGGAAAAGGUAGCUCGGUCUUCGGACGGAGUGUUACAGAUCCGUGCGCUGGGUCCGUCGUGGGACCGAGGAGAGAGAUGAUCGCUGCGGCACCUGCCUCUCGGGGCUAGCCAGCUGUUGCCAGGUGUGCGCCAGAUGCUGAGGACUGCACGCAGUGCUCGGUGUUGAGGUGUGAUCUGGUGGUGGUGUGGGUAUAGAGGUGCCUAGGACGCUGGCGUCCAAAUGGCCGUGCGCGA
rnacentral:rRNA from 1 species